rnacentral:rRNA from 1 species
UACGGAGGAUGCAAGCGUUAUCCGAAUUUAUUGGGCGUAAAGCGUCCGCAGGUGGCUAUACAAGUCUGCUGUUAAAGCGUGGGGCUUAACUCCAUACAGGCAGUGGAAACUGUAAAGCUAGAGUCUGGUAGGGGUCACGGGAAUUCCCAGUGUAGCGGUGAAAUGCGUAGAUAUUGGGAAGAACACCAGCGGCGAAAGCGCGUGACUGGGCCGGAACUGACACUCAUGGACGAAAGCUAGGGGAGCGAAAGGG